rnacentral:rRNA from 1 species
CCUACGGGAGGCAGCAGUGAGGAAUAUUGGUCAAUGGCCGUAAGCCUGAACCAGCCAAGUCGCGUGAGGGAUGAAGGCCCUACGGAUUGUAAACCUCUUUUGUCAGGGAGCAAAGAGUGGCACGUGUCCCGCUUUGAAAGUACCCGAAGAAAAAGCAUCGGCUAACUCCGUGCCAGCAGCCGCGGUAAUACGGAGGAUGCGAGCGUUGUCCGGAUUUAUUGGGGGUAAAGGGUGCGCAGGCGGAGGUGCAAGUCGGUGGUAAAAGUGCGGGGCUCAACCCCGUACUGCCGUUGAAACUGCAUGCCUAGAGUAAGCGAGAGGGAUGCGGAAUGCGCGGUGUAGCGGUGAAAUGCAUAGAUAUCAAGAAGAACACUGAUGGCGAAGGCAGGAUCCCGGAGCGUAACUGACGCUGAGGCACGAAGGCGUGGGUAGCGAACGGGAUUAGAUACCCGAGUAGUC